rnacentral:rRNA from 1 species
CACGCAGGUGGCUUGGCAAGUCGGAUGUGAAAGCCCCGGGCUUAACCUGGGAACUGCAUUCGAUACUGCCAGGCUAGAGUAUGGGAGAGGAAAGUGGAAUUCCCGGUGUAGCGGUGAAAUGCGUAGAUAUCGGGAGGAACAUCAGUGGCGAAGGCGGCUUUCUGGCCCAAUACUGACACUCAUGUGCGAAAGCGUGGGGAGCAAACA